rnacentral:rRNA from 1 species
CAAUAGCGUAUGCUAACUUUGUUGCAGUUAAAAGGCUCGUAGUCGAAUUUCUGGCCGUGUAAUUUUGUUCCGUCGUCAAGUACGAUGCGAUACGGAUUUACUGGUCAUCCUUCUGGAAAGCGCGUCUGCCCUUGAUUGGGUCGGUCGUUGCGAUCCAGAUCAUUUACUGUGAGUAAAUCAGAGUGUUCAAUGCAGGCUUUUUGGCUUGAAUGUUUUAGCAUGGAAUAAUGAGAUAGGACUUGAGUUUUGUUUCGUUGGCUUGUUGACUUGAGUAAUGAUUGAUAGGGACAGUUGGGGAUGCUAGUACUUGUCGGUGAGCGGUGAAAUGCGUAGACCCGUUAAAGACUAUCUUUUGCGAAAGCAUUCAUCAAGGAUGUCUUCUUUGA